UCUCUUACAGGCAAUGGUGAAAUUGAUCUCCCUGUGCAAAAGGGGAUAAACCAUAUAAGACGAGAAGACCCUGUGGAACUUUAAAAUCAGCAGCCACUUUACAUCACAUUCACACCACUGGGUUCACGCAUUUGUAAAAAACUGGCCUGCAAUUUUUCGGUUGGGGCGACCUUGGAGAAAACAGAUCCUCCAAAUAUUGGACCAUAACUCUAGACUGAGAGCAACCCCUCAAUGUGCUAUAGCAUCCAGACCCAAUAUAAUUGAUCAAUGGACCAAGCUACCCCAGGGAUAACAGCGCAAUCUCCUCCGAGAGUCCGUAUCGACGGGGAGGUUUACGACCUCGAUGUUGGAUCAGGACAUCCUAGUGGCUG
rnacentral:rRNA from 1 species